GAUGAACGCUGGCGGCGUGCCUAAUACAUGCAAGUCGAGCGAACGGACGAGAAGCUUGCUUCUCUGAUGUUAGCGGCGGACGGGUGAGUAACACGUGGAUAACCUACCUAUAAGACUGGGAUAACUUCGGGAAACCGGAGCUAAUACCGGAUAAUAUUUUGAACCGCAUGGUUCAAAAGUGAAAGACGGUCUUGCUGUCACUUAUAGAUGGAUCCGCGCUGCAUUAGCUAGUUGGUAAGGUAACGGCUUACCAAGGCAACGAUGCAUAGCCGACCUGAGAGGGUGAUCGGCCACACUGGAACUGAGACACGGUCCAGACUCCUACGGGAGGCAGCAGUAGGGAAUCUUCCGCAAUGGGCGAAAGCCUGACGGAGCAACGCCGCGUGAGUGAUGAAGGUCUUCGGAUCGUAAAACUCUGUUAUUAGGGAAGAACAUAUGUGUAAGUAACUGUGCACAUCUUGACGGUACCUAAUCAGAAAGCCACGGCUAACUACGUGCCAGCAGCCGCGGUAAUACGUAGGUGGCAAGCGUUAUCCGGAAUUAUUGGGCGUAAAGCGCGCGUAGGCGGUUUUUUAAGUCUGAUGUGAAAGCCCACGGCUCAACCGUGGAGGGUCAUUGGAAACUGGAAAACUUGAGUGCAGAAGAGGAAAGUGGAAUUCCAUGUGUAGCGGUGAAAUGCGCAGAGAUAUGGAGGAACACCAGUGGCGAAGGCGACUUUCUGGUCUGUAACUGACGCUGAUGUGCGAAAGCGUGGGGAUCAAACAGGAUUAGAUACCCUGGUAGUCCACGCCGUAAACGAUGAGUGCUAAGUGUUAGGGGGUUUCCGCCCCUUAGUGCUGCAGCUAACGCAUUAAGCACUCCGCCUGGGGAGUACGACCGCAAGGUUGAAACUCAAAGGAAUUGACGGGGACCCGCACAAGCGGUGGAGCAUGUGGUUUAAUUCGAAGCAACGCGAAGAACCUUACCAAAUCUUGACAUCCUUUGACAACUCUAGAGAUAGAGCCUUCCCCUUCGGGGGACAAAGUGACAGGUGGUGCAUGGUUGUCGUCAGCUCGUGUCGCGAGAUGUUGGGUUAAGUCCCGCAGCGAGCGCAACCCUUAAGCUUAGUUGCCAUCAUUAAGUUGGGCACUCUAAGUUGACUGCCGGUGACAAACCGGAGGAAGGUGGGGAUGACGUCAAAUCAUCAUGCCCCUUAUGAUUUGGGCUACACACGUGCUACAAUGGACAAUACAAAGGGCAGCGAAACCGCGAGGUCAAGCAAAUCCCAUAAAGUUGUUCUCAGUUCGGAUUGUAGUCUGCAACUCGACUACAUGAAGCUGGAAUCGCUAGUAAUCGUAGAUCAGCAUGCUACGGUGAAUACGUUCCCGGGUCU
rnacentral:rRNA from 1 species